UAGGGAAUCUUCCACAAUGGGCGAAUGCCUGAUGGAGCAACGCCGCGUGUGUGAUGAAGGGUUUCGGCUCGUAAAACACUGUUGUAAGAGAAGAAUGACAUUGAGAGUAACUGUUCAAUGUGUGACGGUAUCUUACCAGAAAGGAACGGCUAAAUACGUGCUAG
rnacentral:rRNA from 1 species